GUAGUCCGGGUCUUCCUCUGUAGUAACGAAGCAAGGGUGAGUACGAACGUACUCAACAAGUCCAACCCCAUCCACGGAGGGGGAUACAAUCAAGUAUAUGCACAGGAUAAAUCAAGGAUAGGCUAGAGUUUAUUUGCAAUAAAGCUAGAUUUUUCAACACAUGCAAGCGCUCAUUUUCAAACAAAUUUUUGUAAAGCUUUUCUUUAAUAACUGAAACAUUAAGUGGGGUUGAUCCUACACAAAGGAUCCAAGUUUUAUCGCUAUCGGACUCCCCGUCCACCAUAGUGCACGGCACAACUGCCGGACACUUCCAAAAUUCCACACACACGCACGCACACACACACCCAACAACCAUGCCCAAGUGUUAGUUAUGUGACCAAGCCGUAACUCGUCCAAUACCGUGGACACGGCUACCCGGAUAGGUUUCAACUCUGCAGAGGUUGUACACUUUUCCCACAAGUAGGAUACCGCAGCACGAUCACCUUAGUGCCGGUGCGGAUCCUAACAAAGCCAUUACCC
rnacentral:lncRNA from 1 species